GACGAACCGAGCGAACGUUAUUCGGAAUCACUGGGCUUAAAGGGUGCGUAGGCGGGUCUGUGAGUCAGGGGUGAAAUCCCACGGCCCAACCGUGGAAGUGCCUUUGAUACCGCGGGCCUAGAGGGGGACAGGGGCAUGCGGAACUUCCGGUGGAGCGGUGAAAUGCGUAGAUAUCGGGAGGAACACCAGUGGCGAAGGCGGGCACCUGGGCCAACACUGACGCUGAGGCGCGAAAGCUAGGGGAGCAAACAGG
rnacentral:rRNA from 1 species